AACAAGGUUUCCGUAGGUGAACCUGCGGAAGAUCAUUA
rnacentral:rRNA from 1 species